UACAGGGAGUGCAAACGUUGCUCGGAAUCAUUGGGCGUAAAGCGCACGUAGGCGGUUCGUUAUGUCGGAUGUGAAAGCCCUUGGCUUAACCGAGGAAGUGCAUCCGAAACUGGCGAGCUAGAGUACGAAAGAGGAUCGCGGAAUUCCCGGUGUAGAGGUGAAAUUCGUAGAUAUCGGGAGGAACACCGGUGGCGAAGGCGGCGAUCUGGGUCGAUACUGACGCUGAGGUGCGAAAGCGUGGGGAGCAAACAGG
rnacentral:rRNA from 1 species